rnacentral:rRNA from 1 species
GAGAGUUUGAUCCUGGCUCAGGACGAACGCUGGCGGCGUGCCUAAUACAUGCAAGUCGAGCGGACAGAUGGGAGCUUGCUCCCUGAUGUUAGCGGCGGACGGGUGAGUAACACGUGGGUAACCUGCCUGUAAGACUGGGAUAACUCCGGGAAACCGGGGCUAAUACCGGAUGGUUGUUUGAACCGCAUGGUUCAGACAUAAAAGGUGGCUUCGGCUACCACUUACAGAUGGACCCGCGGCGCAUUAGCUAGUUGGUGAGGUAACGGCUCACCAAGGCGACGAUGCGUAGCCGACCUGAGAGGGUGAUCGGCCACACUGGGACUGAGACACGGCCCAGACUCCUACGGGAGGCAGCAGUAGGGAAUCUUCCGCAAUGGACGAAAGUCUGACGGAGCAACGCCGCGUGAGUGAUGAAGGUUUUCGGAUCGUAAAGCUCUGUUGUUAGGGAAGAACAAGUGCCGUUCAAAUAGGGCGGCACCUUGACGGUACCUAACCAGAAAGCCACGGCUAACUACGUGCCAGCAGCCGCGGUAAUACGUAGGUGGCAAGCGUUGUCCGGAAUUAUUGGGCGUAAAGGGCUCGCAGGCGGUUUCUUAAGUCUGGUGUGAAAGCCCCCGGCUCAACCGGGGAGGGUCAUCGGAAACUGGGGAACUUGAGUGCAGAAGAGGAGAGUGGAAUUCCACGUGUAGCGGUGAAAUGCGUAGAGAUGUGGAGGAACACCAGUGGCGAAGGCGACUCUCUGGUCUGUAACUGACGCUGAGGAGCGAAAGCGUGGGGAGCGAACAGGAUUAGAUACCCUGGUAGUCCACGCCGUAAACGAUGAGUGCUAAGUGUUAGGGGGUUUCCGCCCCUUAGUGCUGCAGCUAACGCGUUAAGCACUCCGCCUGGGGAGUACGGUCGCAAGACUGAAACUCAAAGGAAUUGACGGGGGA